AAAAAGACUAGACUCGGAACACAUAAAUAGCAUUUUUCUUCAAUAAUAGUUUGUAUUUUGUUAACAACUAGUAUGAUUGUUCAAAAUAUAGGAAGCUUCUUGUUCAAAAUUAUCCAAGUCUGGCGUUCAAAACCUUGGAAACUUCUUGUUCACAAGCCUCAAGUCUUGCCUUCUGAUUACACCUAUCUAGCUACAGGGAGUGAAAAAGGAAAAGAAAAAAAAUGCAUGGCGGA
rnacentral:lncRNA from 1 species